AGCUAGUGUAGUUUAGUGGUUUGAGCGUUGGGCUAUGAAUCUGGAGACCAGGGUUUGAAUCCCAUCACAGCUA